AUGCCUCUGUACAGCCCAAGAGCAGAAGGCACCCAAAGGCUGCCCAAAAUGGUGGAUGUACCUGCUGCAUUUGACCUGAUGCUAACUCAUAGAAACAUUUGUGCAGACAGAGCAAAGAAAAUGGGACUUGACCAAUUGGUGGAACCCCUGGACCAGGAGUAAAAGCUCCAGAAAAAUGGACAAUUGAAUAACUCGAAGAGGUUAUAGUUACUUUUGCUAAUGGACUAGUUGAUAAGAAGCUCUCUCCUAAGAGAUACAAGGGAUUGGUGGAAAAACCAACAGCAUAUGCCAUGACUAUUCCAUUUGUUAGACCACACAUUUACAAAAUCAUGGAAAAAGAAGUGUGAAAACAGACCAAAGGCCUUUAUCUUGCCCCUCUGAAAAUAAUUGAUGUCAUAAAAACUGGACUUGAACGAAAAAGUGAUGCUGGUUAUCUUACUGAAUCACCAGAAAUUUGGAGAGUUGGCAUUGACUAAAGAAUCAAAGGCCUUGUUGGUACUUUACCAUGGCCAAGUCCUACGCCAGAAAAAUAAAUUUGGAGCCCCAUAGAAGUAUGUUAAGCAUUUAGCUAUUCUUGGUGCAGGGUUAAUGGGAGCUUCCAUCACCCAAUCUCCAUGGACAAGGGGCUAAAUACCCUUCUUAAAGAUACUACAAUAGCUGGAGUGGGCCAGAGACAGCAAUGAGUGUUCAAAGAAUUGAACGACAAAGUGAAGAAGAAAGCUAUGACAUCAUUUGAAAGGAUUCCAUCUUCAGCAACUUGAUUGGGCAGCUUGAUUACCAGGGUUUUGAAAAGGCUGAUGUGGUGAUUGAAGCUGUUUUUGAGGACCUCGGUGUUAAGCACAAAGUGCUAAAGGAAGUAGCUCACUGUGUCUUUGCCGGUAACUCCUCUGCUCUCCCAAUCAAUGAAAUUGUUGCUGUCAGCAAAAGACCUGAGAAAGUAAUUGGCAUGCACUACUUCUCUCCUGUGGUCAAGAUGCAGCUACUAGAGAUCAUCACAACCAAGAAAACAUCCAAGGAGACAACCACUUGUACUGUAGCAGCUGGUCUUAAGCAGGGGAAGUUCAUCGUUGUGAUUAAGGAUGGAUGUGGCUUAAGAUUUUAAGGAUACAAGACACCUUAUAUGUCUUAUAUCCAUGAUGAUCGAAAUCAUAUGAAUCCUCCAGGAAGGAGUUGAUCUUAAGAAGCUGGAUUCUCUGACCACAGGCUUUGGCUUUCCUAUGGGUGCUGCCACCCUGGCAGAUGAAGUUGGUGUGGUUAUAGUGAAACAUAUGGCAGAAGAUCAGGGCAAAGCCUUUGGGGAGCGGUUUGGAGGUAGAAGCCUAGAACUGCUGAAACAGAUGGUGUCCAGGACUUUCUGGGUUGCAAAUCUGGGAAGAGCUUUUACAUCCAUGAGGAGAGCUCAAAGAAUAAGAGUUUGAAUUCUGACAUGAAUAAGAAUUUUACAAGUCUGAGGCUUCCUGCAAAGCCUGAGGCCUCCUCUGAUGAAGAUAUUCAGUACCAUUGGUGACAAGAUUUGUGAAUGAGGUAGUCAUGUGCCUACAGGAAGGGAUGUUGCCAAACCUGCAGAGGGAGACAUUGGAGAAGUCUUUGGCCUAGGCUUCCUCCCUUGUCUCGGAGGGUCCUUGUGUUUCAUGGAUCUAUAUGAUGACCAGAAGUGGACCAGCUCCAGAAGCAUGAAGCUGUCUAUGGAAUACAGUUCAUCCCAUGCCAGCUGCUCACUGACCUUGCCAACAACCCCAGCAAGAAGUUCUACUAGUGA